AGAGUUUGAUCAUGGCUCAGGACGAACGCUGGCGGCGCGCCUAACACAUGCAAGUCGAACGAGCGAGAGAGAGCUUGCUUUCUCGAGCGAGUGGCGAACGGGUGAGUAACGCGUGAGGAACCUGCCUCAAAGAGGGGGACAACAGUUGGAAACGACUGCUAAUACCGCAUAAGCCCACGACCCGGCAUCGGGAAGAGGGAAAAGGAGCAAUCCGCUUUGAGAUGGCCUCGCGUCCGAUUAGCUAGUUGGUGAGGUAACGGCCACCAAGGCGACGAUCAGUAGCCGGACUGAGAGGUUGAACGGCCACAUUGGGACUGAGACACGGCCCAGACCUCCGUACGGGAGGCA
rnacentral:rRNA from 1 species